GCUAACUGAGUAGCCAACUUAGUAGCACUAGCAGCUGCUUAAAGCAGUUGUUAGCUGGUAAAGUAACUAAUAACAUAGAAAUGGAAACUCAUCAGCUAAAUCGGCUAAAGUAGAGGCAGAGCAGCCGGAGGACAUCUGAGUGAAAACCGGACAACAUUUCUCCAUCAAAUCGGAUCCAGUCUAAGUACUGUCAGGCCAAGCUGGGGUCCUCUGUCAUUCUCUCUCUCUCGCUGCAUGCUGGGAGUGGAAGACAGUGAGUGAAGAAGUGAGGAAGUGGGUUUCGGUUGAGUGGUGAUAGCGGACAGAAUCCACCUGUGCUCACUCAGCUACAGGAUAAAGGAGGCGGUUCCUCCAUGGGUCGCUCUCACUCCUUCGUGGUGCCGGCUGGCGGCAGACUGUGCUCGGGGGGGAGCAUGUGUACCCGUUUGUUUUCUGUUAGGUUUGGCCUGGAGUAUGUCUCCUGUGAUCUUUGUUUCUUUUGGUUCUAAUAAUAAAACACGUGGUUAAUUUUU